UGCGAGUGGAAGCAUCAUCAUGACCCAUAAGGACCAUUAAAGGAGACUGUUAAAGAAAGACAAUGAGUUCAGCAUCAAGGCAAAAGAAGAAAAAGAA